GUGUUCGCUUCGGCAGCACAUAUUCUAAAAUUGGAGCAAUACAAAAAAGAUUAACAUGGCUCCUGCGCAAGGAGACUAAAAAAAAAAUAAUAAAUGCAUGUUU